CAGUGAUUUUGUGUCUUGUGAUGGCACAGUUACUGGUCCACUUCAUCUCACAUCUCUAUCUUUAAAUGCAUCAAGCUCAACAAAACAGGGACACUGAGCCCCCCUCUUACUGGGAUCAUCUGUCUGCCUGGUGAACAAGCCGCGUCCUGCCCACUGCACCCAAAUCACAGAGAAAUGUACUCAAAAUUUACAGAUCCUGAAACAUGACUGAAACAAGAACAGACCUGAAUAUUCAGUUACGGAUGCAUUUUCACGCAAUUGUCCAAAAGGGGGGCAAGAAGCCGUAAAGGAUAUGCCACAAGGAGAUCAUAUUAAUAUAACACACACACAAACAAACACAUACAGACACACUCAAAAUAAUCUCCUAGGACUUCCGUUGCAUUCCCACAAGUGUCACACCCAGUCGCAACGGUAACAUGAGAAUGCAUUUCACAGGGUCACUGCGUGGAAAUGACGGGAUACGCCGAGGUGGAAAACACACUGAUCGAUAUCUCCUCCACCAAACUCAGAACGUUUGAUUCUUGAGUUUGAUUCAGAGCGACGUGAUUCUUCAAAUGAAUCUGAAGCAUCCAGGGCAUGUCCCUGAGGCCGACGGCCUCGGCUUCUCUCUCAGCGGUUCGUCUGAGCGCUGGCACUUUGAAAGGGACAGCAAUAUCCACUGAUGUAAUGUGAGAGAUAGCGAUCUUUUAUGCGCUGCUUUAUAACUUGUGGGCGUAAUGUGAGUUUGGGGGGCAUGAGGGGGUGAUGAAGCAGUGUCGCUGGAAUCCGCAGUGUUGUGAGAGCUUCAUACCUUUCAGCUUCAUUAAACCAAUUUCACGCCGAGGUGAGCUAAGAGAGGAAACUCUGAGUCUCUGCCGCCGUAACAAUGGCGCAUUGAAGGGACGAGGCGAAAGUAAAUUAGGUACCACUUCACAGACGGCAAAUUAAAAUCUGAAAGUUGGAUAGGAAAAGUUGAGGGGGAGAUGAUUAUGUCUUUAUUGUGCUGCUCUCAAUCUAAAAAAAAAAAAAAAAAACCUACCCAUCCUUUUAGCAAGCACCUUUGCCCCCCACCCCCCAAGACUCUCUGCUUAGAAGAAAUAAUGAUCUAUUUCUUGUGUGGUAAUUGGUUUCUAAGAUGCCCUUGCCAAAAAAAAAAAGCACAGAUUUUGAAUCUCUUAGCCUUCCUUUCAGUCACGUAAUUUGGUUCUUAUCAGUGAGAUAUGAUAUCCUGAGAAAAUCAUAUAAAUUAAACAUUUGUGUGGGUGCUUAUUUUUGUACCGUCAUUUUGGUGUCCACAAGAGUGCUCAGAGGUGUGAUGUCUGUCAGGGGGCUUCGUGUUAGAAACCGCUGAGCAUCAGAAUCUUCAUAUCCUUUCAUUUUAAAACACUGUCACUAAGUUAAAGAGGUCUGACAUAUUAGGAAAAACUGUAUUUUAUAUCAGUGGCCAGCCUGUGUAUGUGUGUGUGUUCUGUGUGCUUUCUCUGAGGCAGUAGUAAUGUGACCCCGCAAAGAAUAAAGGAGGCACUGUAAACAGUGCACA